UUGCUUCAGCAGCAUAUAUACUAAAAUUGGAAUGAUACAGAGAAGAUUAGCAUGGCCCCUGAGCAAGGAUGACAUGCAAAUUUGUGAAGUGCUCCAUAUUUUA
rnacentral:snRNA from 1 species